rnacentral:rRNA from 1 species
AUUGAACGCUGGCGGCAGGCCUAACACAUGCAAGUCGAGCGAGUGGCGGACGGGUGAGUAAUGUCUGGGAAACUGCCUGAUGGAGGGGGAUAACUACUGGAAAUGGUAGCUAAUACCGCAUACCAUCAGAUGUGCCCAGAUGGGAUUAGCUAGUAGGUGGGGUAACGGCUCACCUAGUCGAAGAUCCCUAGCGGGUCUGAGAGGAUGACCAGCCACACGGGAACUGAGACACGAUCCAGACUCCUACGGGAAGCAGCAGUGGGGAAUAUUGCACAAGGGGCGAAAGCCUGAUGCAGCCAUGCCGCGUGUAUGAAGAAGGCCUUCGGGUUGUAAAGCACUUUCGGCGGGGGGUCGUUACCCGCAGAAGAAGCACCGGCUAACUCCGUGCCAGCAGCCGCGGUAAUUC